rnacentral:rRNA from 1 species
CCCUUAGAUGUUCUGGGCCGCACGCGCGCUACACUGACGAAUGCAACGAGCUUAUAACCUUGGCCGAAAGGUCUGGGUAAUCUCCAAAUUUCGUCGUGAUGGGGAUAGAUUAUUGCAAUUAUUAAUCUUCAACGAGGAAUGCCUAGUAAGCGCAAGUCAUCAGCUUGCGUUGAUUACGUCCCUGCCCUUUGUACACACCGCCCGUCGUUCCUACCGAUUGAAUGGUCUGGUGAAGCGUUCGGACCGUGGCCUUUGGACGGUUCGCCGUCUGUUGGCUGCGGGAAGUUCGUUAAACCUUAUCAUUUAGAGGAAGGAGAAGUCGUAACA